GGUGAGGUGGCCGAGAGGCUGAAGGCGCUUCCCUGCUAAGGGAGUAUGCGGUCAAAAGCUGCAUCCGGGGUUCGAAUCCCCGCCUCACCGCCA
rnacentral:tRNA from 1 species